UCUCUCUGGUGUAUUUCUUCCUCUGGCUCUCGUGCCUUCCCCAGACAUCUCACACCGCCGCCGCCGCCGAGGGUUAGGGUUUGUGGCCGGAGAUCCCUCGAUUGGAUUGGAGCGGCCGGCGCGGCGUGGUCGAAUCGAAUCGAAGAGAAGCGAUAGAGAUGGACGCGCAGCGUGCUCUGCUGGACGCGCUGAUGGGGUCGUCGCGGGACCUGACGGAGGAGGAGAAGAAGGAGCACCGGGAGGUGGCGUGGGACGACCCCGACGUGUGCGCCCCCUACAUGGCCCGCUUCUGCCCCCACGACCUCUUCAUCAACACCAAGAGCAACCUCGGAGUAUGCCCAAAGAUCCACGACCCGGCCCUAAAGCAAAGCUUCGAGUCCUCCCCCCGCUACGCCGCCGUCCUCCCCAAAUUCGAGGCUGACCUCGCCCACCGCUGCGAGAGGCUGGUCCAGGACCUGGAUAAGAAGAUCAGGCGCGGCCGCGACAGGCUUGCGCAGGACGUCGUGGAGGUGCCGCCCCCCGCCGCCCAUGCCGAGAAGGUCGAGCAGCUCGCCAUUCUCGAAGACAAGAUCAAGAAGCUGCUCGAGCAGAUUGAGCAGCUCGGCGACACCGGCAAGAUCGACGAGGCCACUGCGCUCAUGAGGAAGGUGGAUAUUCUCAACCUCGAGAAGUCGGCUCUCACCCACCAGAUAGAGACCAAGCUCUCCAUGGUCCCGCAAGAGAAGAAGAUGGAGCUCUGUGAGCAGUGCGGCUCCUUUCUCGUCACCAACGACGUCCUUGAGAGGACGCAGUCCCAUGUCACCGGCAAACAGCACAUUGGUUAUGGUCUGGUCAGGGAAUUCCUCGCCGAAUACAAGGCUGCGAAAGAAGCGGAGAAGCUUGCAAGGGAGAAGGAAGCAGAGGAGCGUCAGAACCGGGAGAGAGGAUACCAUAACAGAGGCCACCGCGACGACUAUAGGGAGAGAUCCAGGGAGCAUGACCGUGACCGCUACUAUGAGCGAGGAAGCCGUGACAGAGAGAGGCCCUAUGAGCAGGGAGGUAGAGGGUCAGACUAUAGAGGCGGUUCCUAUAACAGCCGCAGGGAUUCUGAAAGGGCGAGGCCCAGAGAUAGGAACGGUGGUGAUUUUUCAAGAAGAGGAGACCCGGGGAGGGUGAGGAGCAGGUCCCGGUCUCCAGGCAGGCAUGGUUAUUAAUCAUUUCAAGUUAUAUGAGACUCAUGAGGUAGACCAUUAUGCUCCUUUGCUUAUUCAUUCAGUCACAAUGUCUGAGUGUUGUCAUGAUUAAAUUUAAACCUUACUCUGCUCUAGCAGCUCUUUGUUGAAACCAUACCCCUAUGGUCUUCCUUUUAUUAUAGAGAGGAUAAAAAACAGAGGAAGGAUUGGAUGGUCAACUUGGGACUUGUUUGGUACAUCAACCAGAAGAAUGAAUUCCAGUGUGUUGUUGGCCGGUGCAUGCCACGGAGAUGAAUGUUAGAUUUCAAUUACAGAAUCACCCUUUUGGGCGUCGCUCGAUGGUUGAGAGUUGAAUUUGAGCUUUGAGCGGACUUGAAACGUUUUGUUCCAACCACCUGAUGCAAAUUUUCUGGCUGUAUUUGGUUCAAAUAUGAAAUGCAGAUCGGUACCUUUGCACUUGUUUCUACCACACCUUUUGUUCCAACCAACGAAUACCUGCCCUGGGUGUGAAAUAUAAUUUGGUCAUAUGGUUUUUUAGGUCCUAGAUCUGACUAUCCAAACAUGUAUUGUGAGCCAUAAAAAUUAUGUCUCUUGAUUCAUUAUCAAAUGAGAUUGAAACA